AUUGAACGCUGGCGGCAGGCCUAACACAUGCAAGUCGAGCGGAUGAGUGGAGCUUGCUCCAUGAUUCAGCGGCGGACGGGUGAGUAAUGCCUAGGAAUCUGCCUGGUAGUGGGGGACAACGUUUCGAAAGGAACGCUAAUACCGCGUACGUCCUACGGGAGAAAGCAGGGGACCUUCGGGCCUUGCGCUAUCAGAUGAGCCUAGGUCGGAUUAGCUAGUAGGUGAGGUAAUGGCUCACCUAGGCGACGAUCCGUAACUGGUCUGAGAGGAUGGUCAGCCACACUGGAACUGAGACACGGUCCAGACUCCUACGGGAGGCAGCAGUGGGGAAUAUUGGACAAUGGGCGAAAGCCUGAUCCAGCCAUGCCGCGUGUGUGAAGAAGGUCUUCGGAUUGUAAAGCACUUUAAGUUGGGAGGAAGGGCAGUAAGUUAAUACCUUGCUGUUUUGACGUUACCAACAGAAUAAGCACCGGCUAACUUCGUGCCAGCAGCCGCAGUAAUAC
rnacentral:rRNA from 1 species